AAGAAAAUUUAGUGACCUCAAAUUAUUUAAUGACUACUAGGGAAGGGAUUAAAAAACAAGGAGGUAACUUACAGUUUAAUCUCUCUAACAUAUAUAAUAAAUAUUGUAUUUUUAUUAAAAUUAUUUUUUUUUGUUAAAAUAAUCAUAUGGGGAAUUUUUGGUGAAUCGGGACAUUUUUCUCCCCAAAUUGGCGAAUUUAAUUUAGAUUUUUGGGUAGUUUAGAAAAUUGACAUUGGCAACGCCGCUAACCUCAUUCUUUUGUUUGUUGUUUGGUCAAAAAGCGGCACGCGGCGUAGUACAAGGCUUUCUUAAAAAUCAUUUUUUAAGAAAUUUUUGAUUGUUAAUUUUAUUUUUCUGCAAACUAAACAGUUGUUUUUUAUUAAAAAAUAGCAGACAAAGAAAUUAUACCAUCCAGCCCUCCUAUUUAAUUAUUAAAUAAAAGUGUGAAAGAGAUAUCAAGGGCUAUUCUGUUAAAAUGUCAUCCGACCAGUCUAGGCCCUGUUGUGAACCAGAAGGUGUGCUAAGUUGGAUGUUGGAUAUAGAAUGGAAGGAAUAUCAUGGCCGAGAACAAGGCAUAAUUGUAUGUCCCUUGAUGUAGGGGGGCCUGUAAAGGUAAAUAAUUCCUGGAGCCAUCUCGAGGUAUAGUACUCAAGUCGGAGCGAAUCAAUUGAUAGCACGAUGAAAAGAAAUAAUAGCCAGCAUAAAACUGUAAAUAUGUAUAUAACUAGUACUAUGUAGCUAUUUAACUGUAAGUACAAUGUAGCUAGAUAUUUA